UGGUGGAGUGAUUUGUCUGCUUAAUUGCGAUAACGAACGAGACCUUAACCUGCUAAAUAGCCCGCAUUGCUUUGGCAGUGCGCCGGCUUCUUAGAGGGACUAUCGGCUCAAGCCGAUGGAAGUUUGAGGCAAUAACA
rnacentral:rRNA from 1 species